AAGAACCGGAUAAACAUCAGAAACACACAAGGCUCACAGGAACAGACAGUCCACAUUAUUAGGACAAAGAGACGCUAAUGAACUCUGGAAGGUUUGGAGCUAGCUGAUAGCAAGCCAGUGACCGACAAUGGUCUUUUUGGUGGCUCAGCCAUGACGAACAUGUAACGGUACAAACAUGAACAGCUUGUUCUUAUAGCUAGCCGGCAUGGCUAACCCAUGCUUGAAAGAUUGGGAGAAAACGUGAUGAUGACGUAGAUGCAGUGACCUACAGCACGGUGAACGCUUCCUCUGCUGAUCCAGGCAACCUCUAUGCUACACUGAAGUAACAAACAGAGUCUUUGCUGAUCUCUGUUCAUGUUUCUAGUGAUCAUGUCCAGGAUGGAUGAUUGUAAAUAGCGUCUCACUUAAAAGGGGAUGUAGUAAGUUAACUUGUGUUGCAAAGGAAAAAAGGGGAAGUCAUAAUGCAACAUGUGUAUGGGUAGAUGCUUAAAAUGUAAUCGCAUAAAAAUAUGACACAUUUUGCUUGAGUAAUGCUCAGUAAUGUGCUAAUCUUAGAUAACAGGAUACAUAUCCAACUGCUGACUCUGUCUACAUUGUAUUUAAUGUUAAUGUUUAUAUUUUAUUCUAGUUUUGAAUUGUUAAUAAUUUUCAUAUUUCUACUUUUUUAUUUGCCAAUACCUCUUAUAUUUCUAUUUUAUACUGCUGUUUGCUAUUUAUUGUAUUUUGAUAGCCCACUUUGCUGCUGUAAUACUUGAAUUUUCCCAAUUGUAGGACUAAAGGAAAUCUUAAUCUUUUUAAAUAUGAUAAAAUAUAAA